AUUGAACGCUGGCGGCAGGCCUAACACAUGCAAGUCGAACGAGUGGCGGACGUGUGAGUAAUGUCUGGGAAACUGCCUGAUGGAGGGGGAUAACUACUGGAAACGGUAGCUAAUACCGCAUACCAUCAGAUGUGCCCAGAUGGGAUUAGCUUGUGGGUGGGGUAACGGCUCACCAAGGCCACGAUCCCUAGCUGGUCUGAGAGGAUGACCACCACACCUGGAACUGGGAAACGGUCCAGACUCCUACGGGAGGGAGAGGUGGGGAAUAUUGCACAAUGGGCGCAAGCCUGAUGCAGACAUGCGGCGGUUAUGAAGAAGGCCUUCGGGUGGUAAAGUACUUUAAGCGGGGAGGCGUUACCCGCAGAAGAAGCACCGGCUAACUCCGUGCCAGCAGCCGCGGUAAUUC
rnacentral:rRNA from 1 species